CCGUCAUCCACUCACUGAAGAGGGCAGAUCCCAGUUGCCCACAUGCAAGGAGGCUGUCAAACAGAGAAAUCACUGCAGACUGUUGGUACACAGACAUCUGCUGCCCAGCUCAGGAGUAAAGGUGAUGGUGAGGACAGCCACAGCUUCCAUCUGGUAGAGGACUGCUUCCGCUCAGUCUUCCAAAUAGUGAUGAGAACAAGGAUCACCACAUCUCCCUGUUUACCCUACUUUCAUGCAUUUCGUCUGCAAGGCCCUGCAAAAGCUUCUCCUUCGUCCUCAAACCCCCAGACUUCUUAAUUAACUCAGUAACCUAUACAUUGCACAUUGGAGUGUGAAGGUAACAGUUUGUUCUAGCUUUGGAGUAGUGGUGUAUUUUUUUGGUUUACAAUAAAGUUGGCUUUAACUAUUA